UGCCUCAGCACACUUUAGAGGCCGGACCCCCUGAGGCCAACUUCAGUCCCACCGGGACCGAACUGAGAGGGGAGACAGAAAGAAAACUACAUAGACUGAGAGAGGACAAAACCCGAAUGGAGAGCCAACCGAAACUGGCUCAACAACAGGUGUGUGUGUGUGUGUGUGUGUGUGUGUGUGUGUGUGUGUGUGUGUGUGUGUGUGUGUGUCCAGGGCUGGAUUGACUCAAGACGCCUGGAAUGACAUUAAGAAACAGCUCAGAGAAAUAACAAACUACACAGGAAGCUCAAGAGCUCAUCACCAGGGCAACAGUUGCCGAGGAGCAGGUAUUUGAGCUGAAAGACAAUGUGGACAAUCACCUGGGCAGGUGUAUACUGGAGAUAAAGUGACUGCGCAGGCUGCUGGGAUCGAAGGAGGUAAGGUCAAAUAGUGCAGGUGUCAAAACUCCCGUCCCCUACAAAUCAUCAAAAAACAAUUAUGAGAUAUAAUCCCGCCCACUUCACAAAUCAAGUGAAAGGUCAUAAACAUUUUAAGUGCAACCCAGUCGAUUCCCAAAUAAGCCUUCGGUUUUCCCUGUGCUGGAAUGUCUGAUGCAAAGCUCGUCAUUGGCACAGAACGUCCAGACUUGUUUUUCAUGACACAUGGACAGUCCGCAUCUUUGUGCAUCAUCGACACACACGUUUGCCGUUUUGUUUUGUAUAUACUGUAAAUGCCUUUAUCAGCAUUCUGUCAUCUUAUUCUUGUGCACGUGUGUAUACAUGUUUUGAUGUCAUGACGGUUUACAUGUGUUGCAUGUUUAUUGAUUUGCAUGUAAAAACCCUUUAAAUCAGAUUUUUAGAAUGAGCCAUUGCAGGUUAUCAGCAUGUGUUGUACAGUACAUUUGCAUUUCCAUGUUAAAAUGCAUUAAAUAAUGUUUAAUAUUAUAGCUAAAUUAUUAUUAAAUUCAAAC